GACGAACGCUGGCGGCGUGCUUAACACAUGCAAGUCGAACGGAAAGGCCCUGCUUUUGUGGGGUGCUCGAGUGGCGAACGGGUGAGUAACACGUGAGUAACCUGCCCUUGACUUUGGGAUAACUUCAGGAAACUGGGGCUAAUACCGGAUAGGAGCUCCUGCUGCAUGGUGGGGGUUGGAAAGUUUCGGCUGUUGGGGAUGGACUCGCGGCUUAUCAGCUUGUUGGUGGGGGAGUGGCUUACCAAGGCUUUGACGGGUCGCCGGCCUGGGAGGGUGAACGGCCACAAUGGGACUGAGAGACGGACCAGAGUCCAACGGGAGGCAGUAGUGGGGAAUAUUGCACAAUGGGCGGGAGCCUGAUGCAGAAACGCUGGGUGCGGGAUGACGGCCUUUGGGUUGUAAACAGCUUUAGCCUGUGACGCAGCGUGAGUGACGGUAAUGGGUAAAGAAGCACCGGCUAACUACGUG
rnacentral:rRNA from 1 species